GCGGGUGUAGUUUAGUGGUAAAACACCAGCUUCCCAAGCUAGCGUCGCGAGUUCGAUUCUCGUCACCCGCU
rnacentral:tRNA from 1 species